CAACUCCUCUGGCCCCAGGAGUUUGAUCAGAGAAAUUUCCACAAUUAAUGCUGUAGAUUAACUGACCUCUUCCAUGUUCAAACCAUAUGUAAUUGUAAUUGAAUGGAAGUUAAACAUCUGGAAACCGUUAGGAUUGAAUAGCAAUGAAAGGCAGGAAGCACAAGACUAUGGAAAGUGAUUUUGAACAACCAGGGUAGAAAUCACAGAUCAUGAUAAUCUUCAAAUGUCUCAUGAGGAAAUGCCAUACACAGUAACUUAUGAAAGAAGAACCCACAUCUACCAUGAAUGAAUAAAUGAAUUUGGGUCCAUCUGAGGCAGAGAGUGGUGUGCUCUAAGGAUACUGAAAGCUGGAACUUUUCUUGAAUGUAGCCCACAAGAUUUCUCAACAAACCUAGAGCUCAACAAAGGCUAGAACUAUGUGAUAAGCGUGCAGAUCUUCACAAUGCAAGGCAGACAAUCUGGUGUUCUGAGAGCAAGACUGAGGUCUUUCUGUAGAUGCCCAGGCCAUAUGUGGAAGCUGACACUUGGCAACAACAAAACUGCUUUCCUGGACAAAAUGUGUUUCUAGGUCUAAGGCGACCUGGAAGCAUACUUCUGGUAGCAAUGGGGACACGGGUCAAAGGGGACUUGAGGUUAUCAGCUUUCAGAAUGAAGACACAUAAUCCCUAUUAGAGUGGAAGACUUAAAAUCGAGUUUGAGACCCACCUUCUGAAACUGCAGGCUCUUGGGAGCCUGAUUUCCGGUGAAGAGUGUUGCUGCUUUGCAUUUUUCACACUUGAACACAGUGAAGAAGAUGAACAUUAAUUAGGAUUAUAGUGCCAUGGAGGCUUACUGUGCUGUGAGAACUCACAAGAAAUAAAAUGCCAUUUCUUUUUUUGGGAUGGAGAAAUCAAGGUGCAAAGAGGUUAAGAAAUUUGUCCAAGGUUUGCCAGGACAUAGAUGGGAGUACUAAUUCACAACUAGAUGGAGAACCUGAUACGAGCAAGCAGAAUUCUGGAAGGCAACAUCUU
rnacentral:lncRNA from 1 species